UCGAGCCUAAACUUUAGCCCCCACCCCAUUUAUUUUAAUCAUAUAACAUUGUUAACUCACCUAAAACAUUUUCACAAUUUAGUAGAGGCGAUCAAAAAAUUUUCAGGAGCUAUAAAAUUAGUACCGCAAGGGAAUAAUGAAAUAGAAAUGAAAUAAUACUAAAGCACAUAAAAGUAGAGCUUAUCCCUCGUACCUUUUGCAUCAUGGUCUAGCAAGUCCAAUCAAGCGAAACGCCUUACAGUUUGACUUCCCGAAACCAAGCGAGCUACUUCAAGGCAGCCUUUAGGGCCCACCCGUCUCUGUAGCAAAAGAGUGGGACGACCUUCAAGUAGGGGUGACAGACCUAACGAGCUUGGUGAUAGCUGGUUGCCUAGGAAACGGAUCUAAGUCCCCCCUUAAACUUCUUUUAACCACCAUAAGUGAACCAAAAAAUUUAAGAGCCAUUCAAAUAAGGUACAGCUUAUUUGACCCAGGACACAACCUCAACAAAAGGGUAAUACUCAUUUAACGUGGUAAAGUAGGCUUAAAAGCAGCCACCUUAACAAAAAGCGUCACAGCUUAGACACGCCUAAACCUUAAUACCUCAACUUACACAGAACCCUUAUUCCUUACUAGGCUAUUCUAUAUUUUUAUAGAAACACCUAUGCUAGAACUAGUAACAAGAAGCAAACCUUCUCUCCAAUACACGUGUAAAUCAGAAUGGACAACCCACUGAUAUUUAACGCCCAUGACCUAAUAGUAAUAACCCCCCCAAGAAAACCUUACUCACACAAGCGUUAACCUAACACAAGAGUAUUACGAGAAAGAUUAAAAGAAAAGGAAGGAACUCGGCAAACAUUAACCUCGCCUGUUUACCAAAAACAUCGCCUCUUGAAAAUAUAAGAGGUCCAGCCUGCCCAGUGACUCUGUUCAACGGCCGCGGUAUUCUGACCGUGCGAAGGUAGCGUAAUCACUUGUUCUUUAAAUAAGGACUUGUAUGAAUGGCACCACGAGGGUUAUGCUGUCUCCCUUUUCUAAUCAGUUAACCUAAUCUUCCCGUGAAGAAGCGGGAAUAUCACUAUAAGACGAGAAGACCCCAUGGAGCUUUAGACGAACAGCACUUGCUAGCUACUUUUCUUUCAACAAGCCAAGCAUACUGACUGCUAGUUUUCGGUUGGGGCGACCACGGAGAACAAACUAACCUCCACGCUGGAAGAAACCUUUUCUUAACCAUAAGCCACACCUUUAAGUAUUAACAACUUAACAUCCAUUGACCCAAUAAAAUUGAUCAACGAACCUAGUUACCCUGGGGAUAACAGCGCAAUCCAUUUCAAGAGCUCCUAUCGACAAAUGGGUUUACGACCUCGAUGUUGGAUCAGGGUAUCCCAGUGGUGCAGCCGCUACUAAAGGUUCGUUUGUUCAACGAUUAAAACCCUACGUGAUCUGAGUUCAGACCGGAGUAAUCCAGGUCAGUUUCUAUCUAUAAAGAGCCCACUUUAGUACGAAAGGACCAAGUAGGCAUGGCCUAUGCCUAAAGCAAGCCAUAGUAAAAAUUUAUGCCCUCCACUUAAUUUAAUUCAACCUAAAACUUCCCCUCCUAGACAAGGACAA
rnacentral:rRNA from 1 species